rnacentral:rRNA from 1 species
AGAGUUUGAUUCUGGCUCAGAUUGAACGCUGGCGGCAUGCCUUACACAUGCAAGUCGAACGGCAGCACGGAGCUUGCUCUGGUGGCGAGUGGCGAACGGGUGAGUAAUAUAUCGGAACGUACCCUAGAGUGGGGGAUAACGUAGCGAAAGUUACGCUAAUACCGCAUACGAUCUAAGGAUGAAAGUGGGGGAUCGCAAGACCUCAUGCUCGUGGAGCGGCCGAUAUCUGAUUAGCUAGUUGGUAGGGUAAAAGCCUACCAAGGCAUCGAUCAGUAGCUGGUCUGAGAGGACGACCAGCCACACUGGAACUGAGACACGGUCCAGACUCCUGCGGGAGGCAGCAGUGGGGAAUUUUGGACAAUGGGCGAAAGCCUGAUCCAGCAAUGCCGCGUGAGUGAAGAAGGCCUUCGGGUUGUAAAGCUCUUUUGUCAGGGAAGAAACGGUGAGAGCUAAUAUCUCUUGCUAAAGACGGUACCUGAAGAAUAAGCACCGGCUAACUACGUGCCAGCAGCCGCGGUAAUACGUAGGGUGCAAGCGUUAAUCGGAAUUACUGGGCGUAAAGCGUGCGCAGGCGGUUUUGUAAGUCUGAUGUGAAAUCCCCGGGCUCAACCUGGGAAUUGCAUUGGAGACUGCAAGGCUAGAAUCUGGCAGAGGGGGGUAGAAUUCCACGUGUAGCAGUGAAAUGCGUAGAUAUGUGGAGGAACACCGAUGGCGAAGGCAGCCCCCUGGGUCAAGAUUGACGCUCAUGCACGAAAGCGUGGGGAGCAAACAGGAUUAGAUACCCUGGUAGUCCACGCCCUAAACGAUGUCUACUAGUUGUCGGGUCUUAAUUGACUUGGUAACGCAGCUAACGCGUGAAGUAGACCGCCUGGGGAGUACGGUCGCAAGAUUAAAACUCAAAGGAAUUGACGGGGACCCGCACAAGCGGUGGAUGAUGUGGAUUAAUUCGAUGCAACGCGAAAAACCUCACCUACCCUUGACAUGGCUGGAAUCCCGGAGAGAUUUGGGAGUGCUCGAAAGAGAGCCAGUACACAGGUGCUGCAUGGCUGUCGUCAGCUCGUGUCGUGAGAUGUUGGGUUAAGUCCCGCAACGAGCGCAACCCUUGUCAUUAGUUGCUACGAAAGGGCACUCUAAUGAGACUGCCGGUGACAAACCGGAGGAAGGUGGGGAUGACGUCAAGUCCUCAUGGCCCUUAUGGGUAGGGCUUCACACGUCAUACAAUGGUACAUACAGAGCGCCGCCAACCCGCGAGGGGGAGCUAAUCGCAGAAAGUGUAUCGUAGUCCGGAUUGUAGUCUGCAACUCGACUGCAUGAAGUUGGAAUCGCUAGUAAUCGCGGAUCAGCAUGUCGCGGUGAAUACGUUCCCGGGUCUUGCACUCACCGCCCGUC